rnacentral:rRNA from 1 species
CCUACGGGUGGCAGCAGUGAGGAAUAUUGGUCAAUGGGCGCUAGCCUGAACCAGCCAAGUAGCGUGAAGGAUGACUGCCCUAUGGGUUGUAAACUUCUUUUAUAUGGGAAUAAAGUGUUCCAUGUGUAGUGCUUUGUAUGUACCUUAUGAAUAAGGAUCGGCUAACUCCGUGCCAGCAGCCGCGGUAAUACGGAGGAUCCGAGCGUUAUCCGGAUUUAUUGGGUUUAAAGGGAGCGUAGGUGGGUUGUUAAGUCAGUUGUGAAAGUUUGCGGCUCAACCGUAAAAUUGCAGUUGAUACUGGCAGUCUUGAGUACAGUAGAGGUGGGCGGAAUUCGUGGUGUAGCGGUGAAAUGCUUAGAUAUCACGAAGAACUCCGAUUGCGAAGGCAGUUCACUGGACUGUAACUGACGCUGAGGCUCGAAAGUGUGGGUAUCAAACAGGAUUAGAUACCCGAGUAGUC